rnacentral:rRNA from 1 species
AGCGAACGCUGGCGGCAGGCCUAACACAUGCAAGUCGAACGGAUCCUUCGGGAUUAGUGGCGGACGGGUGAGUAACACGUGGGAACGUGCCCCUUGGUUCGGAACAACUCAGGGAAACUUGAGCUAAUACCGGAUGUGCCCUUCGGGGGAAAGAUUUAUCGCCAUUGGAGCGGCCCGCGUCUGAUUAGCUAGUUAGUGAGGUAACGGCCCACCAAGGCGACGAUCAGUAGCUGGUCUGAGAGGAUGAUCAGCCACACUGGGACUGAGACACGGCCCAGACUCCUACGGGAGGCAGCAGUGGGGAAUCUUGCGCAAUGGGCGAAAGCCUGACGCAGCCAUGCCGCGUGAAUGAUGAAGGUCUUAGGAUUGUAAAAUUCUUUCAGCGGGGACGAUAAUGACGGUACCCGCAGAAGAAGCUCCGGCUAACUUCGUG